GGAGAACCUCUCUUAUCAAUAAGGUCUGGGUUUAGUAUGUAGCACCCUUCGGGGGGUGCUCAUGAAAAAUUCUUCUGUUGUCAUUUGAAAGUGCAAAGCUGUAUAUCCUGGUAGGUCAGUGGCCCAAAGCCACUCUUGUUGGCAGUUCCACAAGACGUCUGUGUUGCAGACAACAUGCAAGGACAGAUGCGUGCCUCAACUGUGCUUGACACAGCUGCUGGGCAGGAACAAACAGUGAAAGUUUAUCUGUGUGGCCUGAAAUACUGUCCAACUUGUACAUAUCCCAGACUUCACAUCUUGCCAAGUUUCAGUGGCACCAGAUAUGGGAACUGAGAAUGAGGGAGACUCUUUUCUCAAAUCUGGAUGCAGAAGAGAUAAACCACUGAGCAGGAGCUGUGCUGGACUGCGAAAGAAAUCCACUGAGAAAUUCUUGGGGCUUAAAAUUGGGAAUGGGAGCUGUAGAAUGAGUGCUUGAGGGCUGGCUGAACAAAGAGACCAGAAACAGCACGCAGUGGAGAACUGGAAACAAGCACAACAGAAACCAGAAGCCAAGGCAGGUGAGAACAUAGGGUCAAAAAGAGGUAGGGAGUGGGAAGAGGGAGCAUUUGGGAUAAGAAGCCUGUGGGAGAAUGUAGGGAUGAAGGCACAGAGACAAGUAUGCAAGAGCUGGGAACUGGACAAGCAUAAGGGCACAAGACAUCUGGCUGCAGAGGAACAGAGCUUGGAGGUAAGUGUCUGUAACCACUCAGUACCUUUCCUUGCAAUUCUUGGGCUUGAACCAAGGACUCUCACCAAUACACUUUGCAUAAUAAGUACUAGUGAAACCCACUGGCAAAAUGAACCUCACCUUGCCUGCCUGUUCUCAGAUCACAGAGAAUGACAAGCUGCAGACUACAUUAGACACGGAAACAGCAGAGAUCUGUGUUGCAUUCAGUGAUGUAUUGUAUGUUCUGCUUCUUUGCCGUGUGGAAACUGAUUUUCAGCUGUGCUGAAUGCUCAAAGAGAUGUGUCCAAAGCCAGCAGAAAGCUUCUUUGGAUCAUUAAUGUCUGUGAUAUGCUCAUGGCUUUAUUUAAGUACCAGCCUUCUUUACUUGAUCUACUACAAGCAGUGCACCCCUUUAACCCUCUUGCCUCAGUUCCCCAGCUGUAAUAUGGGGGUGAUGCCAUCCCUUCACUUCAGGUGGUCAUUGAGAAAUGAAACUCACUGACAUUUCUUAAGAAAAAUAUAAUGCCAUGAAGAAAACCUUUAUCAAAUUAAUAAUUCUGUGUUCAGCACAGAUUUUUGAGUAGUGUGCAGGAAAUAAGAGACUGGGCCACACUGAAUAAUGCAAAUAAAGAGAAAUAAUGCAUAGUUGCUCAGAGGGCGAGUGUGCAGUUGUGUGGCUAAAGAUCAUGAUGCAGUUCAGCAGUCAGGAUGUACAGGCAACUUCAAUCUAACAUUUCCUAAUCUCACCGUGCCUUCCAACCUAAUGGUCUUUUAAUACAAUUUUGUUAUUAUUUUGUUAUUAUUUUUUUAUUAUUAUAUUAUUAUUAUAUAUUAUUAUACUAUUAACUUAGAGAUUAAAAAACAUACAGUGCUAACAUCCUUCUGACAUAUAUUAGAAAUGUGGUGGGAAUGCCUUCCUAAGCCAUGGCCUUAAAAUAGGCUAGUGGAUUUUCUUUCUCUUUGAGCAUGCAAAGGCAGAAGGAGGGUGACAGGGGCAGUGCUUGGGAGCAGCAAGGGUCAUGAUGAAUGCUCCUCUAGAAAUAGACUUCACAACAGUUGCCCCCCACAGCUAGAAAUAUAUAUAUAGGAAGAAUAUAAGAUGGCUCUCUAAUUAGUCAUGAGAAUUAGAUCCUAAACUGUCAGCUCACUGUCCUUCUCUUAAUUUCUUUCACCCCAAUGGGAUAUUUCUUCAGGGGAAAAAAAAAAAAAAAAAAAGACGCCAUUUUUCUGGGAAGCCUUGAGAAACUGUUCUAAAACAGUCUAUUACCAGUGUAAAGCUGGCAAACGUUGUUGGCAGUCUUUUGACUCUUUUAGUAACUUCCAGUUUAUUAAUGAGAAAACAGAUUAAACUCUGUAUCUUUGUCCUUUCUUUUAAAUUCAGUAUCCACUUCUGAAGCAGCAUCCACUCCCUCUGUACCAUACACUACUCCUCUUACUAUGAACAUUCAACUUCUCCCAGGUUCUGUUCAUUGCUUUGCUUCUUCACAAUAUCCUCCCUCACCCUGUAUUUAACUGUGUCUUCCUUUCCAUCAUGUUUAUUGUCUUCUCCCUUUAUUACCAUUUAACUAUGGGUAGUUUGCUCAGCACUGUAAGCUACUGAGUGCACCCUAGCAAUCAGUGUCCAGUGACACUCCAGGUUUUGGUGGAAUUUGAUUGUAAUGUGAGUAAAAGAGGAAUAGGAAUUUGUGUUGGGUAAAUAAGUACGGUGGGAAAAGCACUGCAAGGGGACUCAGCAAAGAAAACCAGGGACUAUGAGUAAAAGGAGUUAAGGUUACAGCAGGAAGCAGUCAGAUGUUGCUGCGUGUGGAAAUUGUAAAAGCAAAGGUGAGGGUUUGAUGCCAGAAGGGGUGGUGAGCCUGUAAACAGAUUUAAAGAGAUGUGGCACGUCCUUGGGGAUGGCAAAAAGGAUAUUCUGUUUUGUCAUGAAAUCUAGUGUGCAAAAGAAGGCUGGGAAACAGAAAGACCAGAAAGGAACACUCGCAUUGAGGAUGACCAAGGCAGAAGUAGCUUAGCUCUGGUAACUGGAAAGAAUAUUCUUCUUGCUCUUUCCAUGUAAUUCUGCUCAAGACUUCUCAGCAGCACGUGUGCCUUUCAGUUCUCCUUGUGAUAAAGGUAAAAAGGUUCACACCUUUACAAAGUGAAAGGUCUGAGAUCUUGCAAGAAGACAUUUGGCAACUGUGGAGUUGACUUUGCAAAGUAUUACAGGUAUUGAAUACAAAGCAAGCUUUCUGCUUUGCAGAGGUUUAAUGAUUCAUUCCAAUUGUAUCUACUGUGAGAUACAGCCAGAUGCUGGCAAUGGGGUAUGCUUCAUCCCACACUUUGGGACCUCCUCCUACCUACCUGUGCAGAAGGUAUAAAAGGAAAAGUCUUCUCUAUGUACACCACCCCAUAACCAACCUCACAGCCCUGCUAAGCAAUUUCCAGGUCCUUGUCUUGUACCUUGAGUGCAGUGAAUCGUCUUCUGUUUAUCCCAGGCAGUCACUGGGAACCAGUGCAGGGAAGGAAGUCACCUGAGAGACAGGCUUUUACUUACCAUGUUAUGCACUCAGUACAAUGAGUAAAUAAGGAACAACAUAGCAACAAUAUGGCACAGGAAAUGUAUGUGACACGAUGAUAUGAAACUGGAGAUUACAGGGAUAUAAAACUAAAACCAAAAUAAGUGUUCUUAAAUAAAUGUAGAAGUUAUCUCUAGAACACUGACAAGGAAUUCGGACAAGGUUUCAGAGUAUCUGCAGAUGAAACCUUUGUCUGGAUGCAGGUUGAGUGUACAAUCCUGCUUCAUUAACAUUGUCACUAACAAAAUAAUCCCAAUCUAUGUAAAACAAGCAGGUGUGAUUUGUGCCAUUUUAUCUUAAUCUGAGUGAGGUCAAUAUACCUGUUGGUUGGUUUGUGCUUGAACUGUUUUUUGUGGCUUGUGAAAAGCCCUCAAAGUUUUCUGGUCUUUGACUUUCUCAUCAGCCUAUCUAAAAGCUAAAUCAACAUAUGUUGCCUCUGUUGGUUUCUUUCAAUGGUUAACCUUCCACUCAUACCAUUUUCUAGUGCUGUUUCUAAUGCUUAUCUGUUUCUAAUGCUUAUUCUGAUUUUCUGAUUUUUUUUUGAUAUUCUAUGCUUAUGCUCUGAUUCUAACGCUUAUCUGCUACUAUCCAUAAAUUAUCUAGCACUAAAUAUUAUACUUACACUCUUGAAAGAGUAAAAAAGUAGAUGCGGGAUCACACCUCAAGCUUUGUACCAAAAUAAAACAUUAUUGCUGGCCUCGCCUUCUUGGCCCCAGAUGCCAACUGCCCAGCACUCUGCCCCCCAGCUCUCUGUUUUCUCUUGCAUGAAGGUUGUGGUACGUCUCCACAUCUCCAAUAAAGACAUUUGACUCAGCUGUUAUUAGUGCAUACAUCUCUGUCAACUCCAGCAAGGGAAUUGCUCUAGGACUUAACCCUCCUUGUAACUUAGCCCUGUCUAUCACUACAUAGCUUGGCAACUACUUUUUGGUACUAAGAGCACUUUUGACAUUAAUUCAGCAGUGAGUAUCUGUCUGAUGCAGCCUAGACUAAAUUCAUAUUCUGUUUUAGCUAAUUAUUUCUCUCUCAUGUUUUGCUUUGCGCUCUAAUUGCAAGUUCUGAGGCAGGAUUCUGUUUCUGCUUGACUUCUCUGUCAGCUUCAGUACCCACGUGGCAGGCUCCACGCCUCUGUUGGCAUCCUUAGUGCUGGUGUGGACACACCUUUCCAUAGUGUGGCUGUGGAUUUUGUGUAUCUUGACACUGACACAUGCUCUGUGCCACACCUGAACUCUGACUUCUGUAGCUACAGAAAUAGACAUGGGCAGCAAAUACAUCUAAAAGGAGGAAGGAUGUUUUCUAACUAGUGAAACAGUGAAAAAAAAAAAGCAGCUGAUACAAAUUAAUAUUGGGCUUUCAGGCUUUCCACUGAUCUGAGCCACUGGCUUAUUUUUUUAAAGUGUUUGCAGGAGGUUGACUUAGUCUCCAAACUGAGGAAUGCUUAGUCAGAAUCCAGUGCAACGCUAAAAUAAAGGCCAAAACUCAUCUGAAAAGAUGCAUGGAUGAUAUUAAUUGAUGUUUAAAAAUGAAUGCCUCUAUUUGCAGGAAUCAGCAAUGCAAACUAGGAGUUUUAGAAAGUAAUGCAUAUUAUAAUUAGGGCAAGCUUUUAAAGAUGCUUUGAAGUCCUAAACAUUUUUGAAAUUCAAAUGUGGGAUGGAAAUAAAGGAAUCUACACAAUAAAGGGGCAUUAAAUUAUGUCCCCCAAAAUUUCACUGUUUUAUAGAUGUAAAUAUAUGCCAUAAUUAGUGGUAAGUAACAUGAGAAGGAUGGUUAAGUUUAUUCCUAUUCUUAUUCAAAACAGCUGUGGCAUGAAAAAUAAUGCUCCUUCUCUUUGUGAUACACUGGAACAAACAAUUUCCCCAUGUAAUCAGUGUUCAGAAAUGGCUUGCGCCUGUGGUCUCCUCCUCUCCCCCCCCCGCCCGAAUUUAUCUUCAUGUGCUUCCAGCAGUCUUAAAAGUGCAGAGAUUCUUUGUGCCCUUCAUUUGCACACACACACACAACUGUGGCUACUGCCUUUUUGUUUUCUUUGUGUUCUUACAUGCAAGUUCUAUUGCACAAUCCCGACUCUUGGAUUUCCCGCCACACACACAGACACACACGCACACUCGCCAGCUUUGACUGGCAAAUGAGCUGCAGCUCACAAAUGGAAGCUGUAAUGUGAAUGGGGCUAUGGCCAGCAUGCAAAUGUAUGCAAAACAAAUUAGAUAUGGAAGAAAGCAGCCAUCCAUUUUCCUUCCUGCAUCGCAACCCUCUCAGCACAGGGUGUUCACGUAGUGGUUGUGGCGUACCCCUUCACCAAUUGAUGCAAGGGCAUUAGCGCUUGAGCCUGGCUAAUGAGUGGAAGGGGCUGAGCAGCUGGGAAGCCGGAGCAGCUUGGCCUGUCCAUCACAAGCCCAACCAUGUGGCAGACCUGGACGCAAUUCCUGAGCUGCAGUGUAACGUGCCAGCGACCCAGAUGCUCCUGUUGGAAAAAAUUGCUUCACAGUUUGGAAUCUCUGCUCUUUGAUCACUCUUUGGAGAGGAGGAGGGAGGCAUGAUGCGGUCGUAUGAGUAACACACCUCCCUGCAGUCAGCAGUCGUUAAAACCUUUACGCUGUUAACAAAUGGCCUUAUGUGCUUAAUGUUAACUACUGAAUGCCAGCAUAAAGUGUUCUGGCCCUCCCCAGAUCCCACUGUUUCCAAUAGGUGCUGUUUUCCUUCUACUCAGCAGAAAGAAUUUAGACUCUUCUCAGUAGUUUUUGCUAGAGUUGCUUUUUUGUUAGCCAAAGCUGUUACUAUUAAACAAGUGCUCUACCCUGUGCCCCCUGCCGUUAACACAGAGCCUGAGAGCGCUUGGGAAGUGAAUGUGGAGGGUUUUGUUUGUUUGUUUUUAAAUAUUUUUCCUCUUUAUUUUGGUUGCAGCCAGCUAUGUUUUGGUCCUUGCUCUGGCACACUGGCAGGGGCUUUGCCAUGCAGCAUGUGAAACACUUGGUACUCUUAAUAUGUAAUAUUUUCAGUGCUACCCUUUGACAAGCUAUGCUGUAUUCAUGAAUUAAUCAUGUUCUUACACAAUCACAUAGAAAGCAUGCCAGAAAGCUGAGGGUCUUUCUCUCCCUCCAAAUGCAUUCAGCUAAUACAGAGUUCAGCUUUUAAAACUGAAUCAAGAUUAGUUUUACAUUUGAAAAUCAACCCCCCAACAAAAACCCCACAACAUUUGUUGUUUUUAAGUUGUUAGGUUUUCCUUUCCUGCUAAAUUACACUGAUCUUCAAAUGUGAAUCUUUUAAUGAGUAUUGAAAAUGACUUUUUGAAAAAUUACUCAAAAUGACUCUUGUUCACUAUAUGUAAUCAUGCUUCCAUUUUAAAGGGUUUUAUUGGUAUAUGCUACAGUAGUGCUCACCAACCCUAAUUUCUGGAGCCACGGAUCAACAGCAUAGCUGCAACAGAAGCUGUACAGAAGGGAAAGAUGGUUUACAGUCCAGGAAGCCUUGCAGUCGAAGUCUAAAAUGCAGGUGAACAGCUAGAUAGAGACAGACUGAGCAUACCAAGGAAAUAAAGAGACAAAGCUGAGUCUCGUGAGGCUGCAGGCACAGUGCUCCAGAAGCUUGACUUGUCAAAUUUUUCACUGGGCUCAUUAAGAAGGUUAACUGAGGUUAAUAAGAUAAAGUCAUAGAUGUGAAUUUUGGAAUUAUUAUAAUCUAGUCUUACCUCUCCUGUAAUAUAGGUAGUGAGCCUCGCUAAGUAAUUUUUGCAUCCAGGCAAUAAGCCUACUUGAGGUAGAGCAUCCCUGUUACUUACAUAUUCAGAUUGGUUACAAAAGACCCUAAGUAACAGUGAUUUCACCAUAUUCAGAAUUAUUCCAGCAUUUCAUUGCCAUCAGAGAUAUCAGCGUCUGCCGUGUUUCUCAUUUAGCUUUUGUGUAGCAUUAGCUUUUUGUCUUUUAAUGUCCAUUCCUUCAAGCUUUAAUCUACCAGAAGACUCUUUCCCAUGUAGCAACUUGUAGACUAUGACAAAGUCGUAGAAAAACUUCCGUUGGAAAAAUUAAGUAGAUGGAGUUUCAUUAGUCAUUCACUACAAAGGAUGUUUUCCAGACCUGAAAUCAUUCUUGUCUUUUCUGAACCCUUUCCAAUUUUCCAACAUCCUUUCUAAAAUGUGGACACAAAAACUGGAGUCAAUAUUGUAGUAAGGAUCCUGCUUAAACUGAAUUCAGAGGUAACAACACAUCACUGUUCUUCUGCUCAAAAUUACAUAUGCAAUUCUCAUAGCCACAUCAGAUCUACAAUUUUUCCAAUAACUUUUUUUUUUGGUAUCAUCAUUACCUUUUGGGGAAAAAAAAAUCCCCCAAAUUUAAAAUGUGACUUGCUUUUCUUCAGUUUGAGAGAGACGUUUUCGCGUAUUGUGUGCAUUUAAAUGAACCCCUUGUUAUGUAAGCCGUACCAAUAUACUUAACAACUCCUUCACUGUCAUUUCUUAUCAUUUAACCAAAGCUUUGUAUUUACCAAAGUGAUUGUCUUUCCUUCUUUUAUAAAUGUAGUCAACACUUUAAAAAAAAAUCAAAUUCUAGAUUAAGACUACUUCCUUGAGGUGACAUUCCCCUCUUCACAAUGAUGCAUGCUCCUUCCUUAGUGUUCAUGUACUCAUCCUCUAGUGAAAAGAUUGAAACCCAGGUUAAGGGACAAGAUGCUUUAGUAUGUGAGACUCGAGAAAAUUCUUUCGUUAUUAAAAGAAGCUUUGCUGUAGCCUUCAUUCAAAGUAUUUACUGUUGCAACUCUUAGGAUUUUUAUAUUGUUAUUACACUUUUUGGAGGAGUCUUGAGGUUCAGCACGCAGCAUGUUGUAGUUAGGUGAACAUUAAAACUCUGGUUUAAAAGGAGAACUCUUCCUUUCCUUGAAACACCCUCUACUGUAUGCUACUCAAAAAUAAUAAUAAAAAAAAAAUCAAAGAGCAAUACAGGUAAUUCAUUUCUGUUUUGCAAUCAUGGGUACUUUUUAGCAACAACAUUGUGAUUGCAUAGAGUAAAUCAUGACAGUUGAAUGAUAAUUUCAAGUGUUCCUUAUUCAGGGAGGAACAUCAGGGCCCCAGCCUGUAUUUUUGUGGUACACAGGAUUCCUGUUGAUUUCAGCAAGAGUUGGAAGCACUGUGGGAGUGAUCAACAGGGUGCCAAUGGCCACAUGUGUUACUUUUCCGGGUCAAAUGUCAAGUAUAUUUUUUCAGUGGGCUUCAAAACGAGAAAAAAAAGUUAUUUUUUAAUAUCUAUAAGCAGUUGUUAUUGCAGCUUGAGAUACAAGGUCUAUGCAGUUGACCCUUUUAAAACACCUGAAAUCACAAGGAGCAUUUUACUUACAAUUUCUUAAAUAUCUUCUCUGUAUC